UUUUUUUCUUUUUUCAAUAGGAAAGCCUUGGGUAUUGGUGAGAAGCAUGUUAAAGAAUGUAGCGUAACCAUCUUGUCGUCUCACCAGGUUGAUAGCUUUUGAAGGAAACAGCAUUUCUAAACCAUACCUGUAGCUAUUUUGAAGUCCCCUUAGUUGUCAGGGACCCGGAGCUCUUUACAGGCAUCUGCCAGGGGUGAAGCAGCCGUUUCCUGGUGAGCUUUCAGACUCAUGUGGUCUGCUGUGUGAUUUGUUUAUUUUCUUUUGCUCUCACACUCCUUCCCUGACUCUGCCUUUCCGUAUGUUUGGGGAAGAUUUGGAUUUUAUUUUGUAGUAGUCUUGAGAGAAUUUAGUUGCUAGUUCUGGGCAGCAGCAGAGUAUCCCCAGUAGUGGCUGGUUUGCCUGCGGUGGUGCCCUGUGGAAGCGGGUGUGGGCGCAGGACUCAGUGGGCCCAUGGUGGGUGCCGACAGCGGGAACUGCCAGAGUCUGCACUGCCAGGCUUGUUAUCUGAGUGGAUCUCAACUACAGCUUCUACCACAGGUUAAUAAAACCAGGUGUGUUUCCAAUGCUGCUUUUAAUUUUCUUUCUAAAAAUGGCAUUUGUUUUAUUUUCUCUUGCUCCAGAAAAGCUCCCAGUACAGAUCCUCUCUUUGAGAAUAGGAAUAGGUUCUGUAGAGGGCUCUAGCUCGGCACAUCUCAGCUAGCGGUCAGCUUGCUUUGGGAUCUUCUGCUUUGAAAGAUUCCAGGCCGGGAGGAAGAAUCAGUUGCUCGAGCUGCAGACCUCCUGUAAGAGAACUUAAAAGUGGAGAGUUAAAGUGAAUCAUUUUGUUAGAGCUUUAUAAAAAGAAAAUGCAAGGAAAAAAAUGAAAUCAUAUAAAUAAUAUCUGUUAGAGUUAGAUCCUUGGGGAAUUUCUAGGAACUAGUUCUAGUUACAUUUUUUUCCUUUAAGAUACUUUAAAGGAACAUGGACUCUUCAGAAUAGAAAAGAAGAAAUGCGUUAAUAAGAAUGCAAGCAUCUAUAUUUUUGGCAUAAGCACUCAUGUCCCACAUAGUGUAGAAAUUCAAAGGAGAUAGUUAAUAACUUUUAGUAAGUAAUGCAGAGUGGCAUUUAGUGAUGUGGAGGGCUAAGGUCAUUAAAGACUUUAAAUGAACUAUUAUAUGGCUGGUUCCUCAAGCACUGCUGCGUAUUUAAUAACGAGCUUCUAAAAGCAUUUCUUAAGUUGCAGACCUAUAAGAUUACAAAUGUCACUCAUGUUAGUAUAAUCCACAUGCAAGUGAUGAAGUCUUCCCUUUGAUGUGCUAAAUUGGAGAAGGACUAAUGGAGCUAUGAAUAUACAAUAGAACAUAUUUAAGUAGUAGUCUUGCUUUAGGUAAAACACUUUCCUGAAACCAGAGGCAUUUCAAACAAUAAAACCCAGCUCUAAUGGGGAUGCUCUGUGUGGAUAGAAAGCUACUCAAAACACUCAGGUUUAUUCUGAUGUGAGCAGUGAUUGUGUUCCUCCCCUAACCCCAACAUUGCUUAGGCAAAAAAAAAAAAAAAAUCCGCGAGCUUGUUCACCUUUCAUCCGUUGCAUUUGUGAUGCUAGUGAGAUGUACUCUGUUCUUUUGAAAGGACUUACUUAAUAUUAACCACGUCAUAGAGCAAGAUGGCCCCCAGUCUCUACAAGUAAGUGCAAUUAAAAAUAAAAGCAAAUGUUACUGAGACCUGCUAAACUCCUAAUAAAAAAAAAUGUUUAUGAUACAUAUAAAUGACUCAAUCAUGCAAAUUGUCACUCUUGCUAAUGAAACAAUUUUGUAAAAAGAUUGUCCUCUGCAAGGGCUUAAUGUUUUUUACCUAUCUGUCUAGUUCGAUUUACACAUCCCGAAAGGCAGGGGAACCCGCACGAAGCCUUUCCAGACCACACCGUUUGCCGCAAGACACUAUUUCCCACUCUUCCUGAUUUAUUAGGAAAGAGUUUAACAUGGACUGUAGUGUCUUAUAAAAUGAGAAAACUGUCACACCGAAAUUAAGCCUGUGAAAUUGUCAUCCUCUUAAUAUUAACUGUAUUUAACUUUUCUUUUGCUCGUAUUAACAUUGAUAUUUGGAACAACUAACUAGUCAUUAGAAAUGAAGCUGUUAAAUGGCUUUAAAUGUCAAUAUAGUAAGAUUCUAAUGUGCACUACUAUUUAUAUAAAAUAUUUCUUAAGCCCAAUGAAUUAUAUAACAAACAAUGAAUCCAAGACUUAUGUAUCAAGAGACUAGUGAAGAGUUUCCGUGUAGCCUAAGUAAUUGUAUUGAGAAGAGGUUUUUCCAAAAAGACACCUUUGCCCGGGAAUUACAUCCUGGGUGCUGAUGCGCCUAUGACUGAGAGGCCCUUUGGAAACAGACAAGUAACAAGUUGAUGUUACUUGUCGCUUUGUUACUAAGACCUAUUGUCAGUCCACUCAAGUCACAGAAAUGCUUAUUGCAGUUAAAUAGCAAUUUGUUUCCAUGAAACUGCAAUUAAAGUAUUACUGAGCAGCCAUUUUAGAUUGGCAAUGCUCUAAACGCAUUUUAAACAGCCAGCAGCAACUCCCACUUGCAGAGUCUGGGAUCUGACUAGCAGCAAAGUGUAACACAUUCACCCAUGUUGGGUAUCUAGUUAAGAGGCGUCUGUAGCCCUCUGCUCCCAUCGUGAACAUGCUGAGAGCAAUGACAAGACAGGGCUGGUUUUUGGAAGGUGAACUUGCAACUUACCUCAUGUGAAUACUAUUUUCAGUUGUUCAAGAAGUGCUUUAUGCUAGUAGAUCUGUGCAUGUUACCUAGAGGGAAUGUUUUCAAGUUCAGAUUGAUUCUGCUGAGAAUGGACUGCAAUUCGGAGGCCUCAAGCCAAUAAUGUACUACAGGUCCUGACAUGUUACAGCUGUGUAAACAGGGCCAUUCUAUCUCCUAAAUCACAACUAAUAAAGCAUAGGAUGAAAAUCAAUUGAUUCUGUUAUAAGUUCUUUGAAUGACACUGGAAAGUUGUUUAAUGACUCUCCGUUAGAACGAACAAGCCUGAGUUGAGCCGCC
ensembl:lncRNA